rnacentral:rRNA from 1 species
UACGUAGGGUGCAAGCGUUGUCCGGAAUUAUUGGGCGGAAAGAGCUCGUAGGCGGUCUGUCGCGUCUGCUGUGAAAACCCGGGGCUCAACCCCGGGCUUGCAGUGGAUACGGGCAGACUAGAGUUCGGUAGGGGAGACUGGAAUUCCUGGUGUAGCGGUGAAAUGCGCAGAUAUCAGGAGGAACACCGGUGGCGAAGGCGGGUCUCUGGGCCGAUACUGACGCUGAGGAGCGAAAGCGUGGGGAGCAAACAGG